AUCCGACCUCAGAUCGGACGAGAUUACCCGCUGAAUUUAAGCAUAUUACUAAGCGGAGGAAAAGAAACUAACAAGGAUUUCCCCAGUAACGGCGAGUGAAGCGGGAAAAGCCCAGCACCGAAUCCCCCAGUGUCACGCUGGCGGGAACUGUGGUGUGUGGGACGCCACCAGUCGCGCCGGAGGGUGCCGAAGUCCUCCUGAUCGGGGCUUCACCCAGAGCGGGUGUAAGGCCUUUGCUGGCACCUCUCCGCGCGGCCGCGAGCGUCUCAGCGUUCCGGUUGUUUGGGAAUGCAGCCCAAAGCGGGUGGGUAAACUCCAC
rnacentral:rRNA from 1 species